CCUACGGGGGGCAGCAGUGAGGAAUAUUGGUCAAUGGGCGCGAGCCGGAACCAGCCAAGUAGCGUGAAGGAUGACUGCCCUACGGGUUGUAAACUUCUUUUAUAAAGGAAUAAAGUGAGGCACGUGUGCCUUUUUGUAUGUAAUUUAUGAAUAAGGAUCGGCUAACUCCGUGCCAGCAGCCGCGGUAAUAAGGAGGAUCCGAGCGUUAUCCGGAUUUAUUGGGGUUAAAGGGAGCGUAGGUGGAUUGUUAAGUCAGUUGUGAACGUUUGCGGCUCAACCGUAAAAUUGCAGUUGAAACUGGCAGUCUUGAGUACAGUAGAGGUGUGCGGAAUUCGUGGUGUAGCGGUGAAAUGCUUAGAUAUCACGAAGAACUCCGAUUGCGAAGGCAGCUCACUGGACUGCAACUGACACUGAUGCUCGAAAGUGUGGGUAUCAAACAGGAUUAGAUACCCUGGUAGUC
rnacentral:rRNA from 1 species